CCAGCAAAGAGGAUAAAAGAGACUACACCUGGACAAACCCUCCCAGGCCCAGGCCUGAGCCUCACAUGUGGCCCCGGGGAAGGCAUCAGGGACUCCCUUUGCCCUCCCACUGACCUCCCUGCAAACCUCCCCCAAACCAAGGGGCAUCCUCAGCUGGCCAGACCCUGGGGGAAGGGAGAGAGCCGAGGAUCACCGGCACCUGUGGCUGGGUUACCCCUGCCAUGGACCACUGGGUGAUCAAGAAGUCAUUCCAAAAUGUGAAGCGUUCUGAAGAUAUGCACAUAGCGUAAGAACCUGGUGUAAUGUGCUGGUCAAGGCGGUCUCAGAGAGGAGAUGACGUUUGAGCUGACACCUGAGGGAUGAGAAGAAAGCAGCCAUUCCCAGGGCCCAGGGGAGGCAUCCCAGGAAGCCGGAUCAGCAUGAGCAAAAGCCCUGAGGCCUGGCACAAGUUGGUCUGCUUGAGAAGCAGGAGAGAGCCCUGAGCAUCCGGAGUGCAGCAAGCGAGGUGCACAGAGGAGCAGGAAGGGGCUGGGAGAAGGCUGGGGCCGGAUCAUGCAGGACAGGCUGGAGGAAGGGGCUUGAAUUGUCUUCUGACCACUGAGGGGAUAUAAACAUGAGGGCAAAAUCAUCUGAUUUCCAUGUGCAAAGGCCCAGGGUACGUGCCGUGUAUGGUAGAUAGCAUGCUACCAAAUACACUCACAGGUAGCCCUAUUAUCUCCAUUUCACAGAUGAGCAAGUCAAGAUGCAGAAGGACUCUCUGGCUUGUCCAAGGUCACACGGCUGUUAGGAGCAGAGCAGCGUCCUGGUGCCCAAGCCCUGAGGUCCCCAGCACACUGCCUCUGCAAUGGCCACAACUGUCCAAAGACUAAGCUGACUCUCACACCUGGUAGUGUCUGUGGUCAUUCACUGUGGAUGGAAGUGGAGAAAUGCAGAAAACAGAAACACAGCUUCCCCUUUUCUGUCAUAUUUCUGUAUCGUUGGUGUUUGGAGCCAGUUGAGCACAAAGGGCCCCUGAGUGCUGUUUCCUUGUGAUAUUUGGGGGUUAACAGCUUCCCCUCAUCUCUUAAUUACCUGCCCUCCUUCACUUCAGCUGCACAUUCGUUAAAGAAUGCUCUCCCAGGAGAAGAGCUUGGUGUUAUCACCCACAAACAUCUUAGAAAACUAAUGCUAUCCUUGAGUGCCUGUUUACAGAAACAUUUUUACAUCUCACUUGACAUUUCCAGCAAAUCUUGAUCCUUCCAGCCAGGAAUAUUAAUAUAUAGGUCUUGAAAAGUGCAAGAGGCUCUUCCAUGGCUCCAAGCACAUUUGACACUCUUCCUUUUCUGAUCCCCAAGCAGACAGUGAUGAAACCCCAAUAGCUGGGCGAAUACUCAUCCAACAGGAAGAAUCAGUUUUAAGAGCUGGGUUCUCAGGGUCAAAUACUGUGGUGUGGCCUUUUGGUUGUAAUGAGUUGAAUGGAGGUCUCAAAAAAGAUAUAUCCAUGUUCUAAUCCCCAGAACUUGUGAAUGUGACCUUAUUUGGAAAAAGAGUCCUUUUGGAUGUAAUUAAGUUAAGGAUUUUGAGAUAAGGAGAUCAUCCUGGGUUAUCUGGGUGGACCCUAAAUCUGUUGACAAUGUCCUUAUGAGAGACCCCAGAGGGCACAGACAGGAAAGGAAGAGGCAAUGUGGCCCCAGAGGCUGAGAUCAGAGCUCUGUGGCCACAAUUCGAGGAACACCUGGAGCCACCAGAAGCUGGAGGAGGCAAGGAACAGAUUCUCCCUGAUCCUCUGGAUACAGAGGGAGAAUAGCCUGGCCGACACCUUGAUUUUGGACUUCUGGCCCCCAGAACUGAGAAAAUUAACUUCUGUUGUGUUAAGCAGCCACGUUUGUAGCAGUUCAUCAUAGCAGCCCUGGGAAAGAAAUACAGUGGGCUUCCAGUUCAAGGAGGAUCCACGAGGCCUGAGCUCCAUCUGUCGAUUGGAAUCACCAAAAUCAAGGUUGUGUGCGGGUAACGCCAGCACAAGCAGCUCAUGCUGGCAAAAGCAGACCAAACCGGCUCACGCAACGUCAAGUCAUCUUGAAGUGGUUCACGCACCACAGUGAGUGGUAUUGAUUGUGGUUAAGAGCCAGGUUCAAGGAGGUUUAUCACUCAGUAGCCAGGUAAAGCAGGUUCCAGGCCUGGCUCCACCACUCAACAACCGGGGAAACAGGGUUCCCCUAGGGCAGCAGAGGAAGCAAGGUGGGGGGAAGCCAGUGGUCAAGGAUUCCAUGCGGAAUGUACCCUAGAAUUAACCCAUGGAGAGAGGGUAAGGGAACGGGCUCAGGCCUGGGAAGAAGUGGGGAGGACAGUGUCCUGUUGACCUAUUCAAAAACAUCCAGUUUUAGUUAAUUUUUAGUUCAUUAGUCACCACUUUUUAUUAGUAUCUCAUGUAUUCUUUCACAGUUUCUUUCUGCAGGUACAAAAAUAAUGAUUUUUUUUCUUUCUUUUUCUUCUUUGAGACAGGGUCUCGCUCUGUUGCCCAGGCUGUAGUACAAUGGUGCAAUCUCGGCUCACUGCAACCUCUGCCUCUGGGUUCAAGCGAUCCUUUGCCUCCGCCUCCUGAGUAGCUGGAAUUACAGGCAUGCACCAUGAUGCUUGGUUAAUUUUUGUAUUUUUAGUAGAGUCAGGGUUUUGCUAUGUUGGCCAGGCUGGGCUCCAACUUCUGGUCUCAAGUGAUCCACCCGCCUCGGGCUCCCAAAGUGCCAGGAUUACAGGCGUGAGCCACUAUGCCUGGCCAAAAGUGGCGAUGUGUUCUUAAUGCCCAUUUUCACAUAAAAGGUAAUAAUCUACCCACACCAUGCUGUACCUUGUUUGUUUUUUGUGUGUUUGUUUGUUUGUUUUUUGACAGAGUCUUGCUCUGUCAGCUAGGCUAGAGUGCAGUGGCACAAUCUCAGCGCGCUGCAACCUCCGCCUCCCGGGUUCAAGCGAUUAUCCUGCCUCAGCCUGCUGGGUAGUUGGAAUUACAGGAGCCUGCCACCAUGCCCAGCUAAUUUUUGUGCUUUUAAUAGAGAUGGGGUUUCACCAUGUUGGCCAGGCUGGUCUCGAACUCCUGACCUCAAGUGAUCCAUCCACCUUGGCCUCCCGAAGUGCUGGGAUUACAGGCGUGACCCACCGCGCCUGGCUCUUGUUUGUUUUUUUAACUAAUCACACAUCUUAGAGACCUUUAUCAGUAAUUAGAGAGCUUCCUGGAUCUUUUAUAUCACUGCAUAAUAAAUAUUCUAUUAUAUAGAUUAGAAUAAUUCAAAUUACCAGUUCCCUAUUGGUGGACAUUUGUUUCUGGUUUGUUUGUUUUUUCUAUUUUUUUUCUUAUCACAAACAGUGCUGCAAUAAGUAAUUGUGCAUAUGCACUGUUUCACAUGUGUGCAGGUAUACCUGCAGGAUAAAUUCCCAAAAAUGAAUUCCUGAUUUAAGAGUAUCUUUUUUUUUUUGAGACAGGGUCUUGAUCUGUUGCCCAGGCUAAAGUGCAGUGGCAUGAUCACGAUGCACUGCAGCCUCAGCCUCCUGGGCUCAAGCGAUCUUCCCACCUCAGCUUCCCAAGUAGCUGGGACUACAGGCAUGUGGCACCACGGCUGGUUAAUAUUCUCAGUGUAACAGAGUUUCAUCACAUUGCCCAGGCUGGUCUUGAACUCCUGGGCUCAAGCAAUCCUCCCACCUCAGCAUCCCAAAGUGCUGGGAUCACAGGCAUGUGCCACCAUGCCUGGCAGGUUGAAAGUACUGUAUGAGUUAUCUAUUGCUGCAUACCAGAUUAUCAUAAACUCAGCAGUUUAAAAAAACACCCAUUGUUUAGCUCACAGUCUCACCUGAACUGGGUGCUGAGUUCAGGGUGAAACCAAGGUGGCGGCCAGGCUUGGUUCUUUUUUGGAAGCUCUGGGGGGAAAAUCUACUUCCAAGGCCAUUCUUGUUGUUGGCAGAAUCUGGAUCCUUGUGGUUGUAGAACUGAGUCUCUGGUUUCUUGCAGGCUUCCAGGAGGGGCCUCCCUGGGCUCCCGGAGGACACCCACAGUCCUCACCAUGCAGCUCCCUCCAACAUCAAGCCAGGAAUGGCCGAACAGAUCUUUCUCAUGCUUCAAAUCUCUGAUGAAUUUCUCUUGCCAGAGAAAGCUUGCCAUUUUCCAAGGGCUCACCCAGUCAGAUCCGUCCAACAAGGGUGAUCUCCCUAACAUUAGGUUAACUGACUUGGAACCUCAGUUAAUCUGCAAAAUCCCUUUUGUCAUAUAAUGGAAUACAAUCAUUUGGUUCACAUGCUCAUCUUAUUCACAGGCCCUACACUCAUACAAGGGCAGGGGACCACAGAAGAGUGAAGGCCAGUGAGGGUCACCUCAGAAUUCUGCCCAACACCGGUGUUUUGUAAUUUGGGUAGAUGUUGCCAUGUUGUCCUCCGUGGGGAUUAUGCAGAGGGAACUCUCCUCCUCCAGCAACAGUACAUGUACCUGCUUUUCCAUGGUGCUGCUUAGAGAAUGUUAUCAAACCUUUGGAUUUCUGCCAGUCUGAUAGGAGAAAAAUGGAAUCUCAAUUGUAUUUUAAAAUUGUAAUUAUCGCCUUAUGAAUAAGGCUGAGCAUUUCCUCAAAAGCAUAAGAGCCAUUUAUAUACUUUUUUCUUUAUGGCUUCUGGUUUUGAGGCAUAGAAAGGUCUUUCUAGCUCUAAAGUUAAUCAGAAAUUCUCUGUUUUCUUUUUGCUUUUUUUAAAAUUUUACUUUAAGUCCUUGGAUACAUGUGCUGAACGUGCAGGUUUGUUACAUAGGUAUACAUGGGCCAUGGUGGUUUGCUGCACCUAUCAACCCGUCAUCUAGGUUUUAAGCUCCACAUGCAUUAGGUAUUUGUCCUAAUGCUCUUCCUCCUCUUUCCCCAUGCCCCCAACAGGCCCCGGUGUGUGAUGUUCCCCUCCCUGUGUCCAUGUGUUCUCAUUGUUUAGCUCCCACUUAUGAGUGAGAACAUGCAGUGUUUGGUUUUCUGUUCCUGUGUUAGUUUGCUGAGGAUGAUGGUUUUCAGCUUCAUCCAGGUCCCUGCAAAGGACAUGAACUCAUUCUUUUUUAUGGCUGCAUAGUAUUCCAAGUUGCAUAUGUGCCACAUUUUCUUUAUCCAGUGUAUCAUUGAUGGGCUUUUGGGUUGCUUCCAAGUCUUUGCUAUCGUAAGUAGUGCUGCAAUAAACAAAUGUAUGCAUGUGUCUUUAUAGUAGAAUGAUUUAUAAUCCUUUGGGUAUAUACCCAGUAAUGGGAUUGCUGGGUCAAAUGGUAUUUCUAGUUCUAGAUCCUCGAGGAGUCGCCACACUGUCUUCCACAAUGGUUGAGCUAAUUUACACUCCCACCAACAGUGUAAACGUGUUCCUAUUUCUCCACAUCCUCACCAGCAUUUGUUAUUUCCAGACUUUUUAAUGAUUGCCAUUCUAACUGGCAUGAGAUGGUAUCUCCUUGUGGUUUUGAUUUGCAUUUCUCAGCUCAUUGCAACCUCUGCCUCCCAGGUUCAAGCAAUUCUCCUGCCUCAGCCUCCAGAGUAGCUGGGAUUACAGGGGCACGCCACCAAGCCCAGCUAAUUUUUGUAUUUUUAGCAGAAACAGGGCUUCACCAUGUUGGCCAGUCUGGUCUCAAACUCCUGAUCUCAAGUGAUCCAUCCACCUCAGCCUCCCAAAGUGCUGGGAUUAUAGGCGUGAGCCACCACGGCUGGCCAUUCUCCUGUGUUUUCUUCUGGGGCUUUUAUACUUUCAUUUUUUAAAAUCCAUAGUUUCUUGGAGCUGGAGGUGUCCCUUGUCAUUUUCUCAUCAGUGAGUGCAAAGCAGGAUCCCAAAAGGAUUGGAGUCCAGAGUAGAGAAAGGAGCUGCCGCGGUGGAGUCUGUUCAGUGCAGGCUCUGAUCUCCUUCAGCCCUGCCAGGAAUCCCAGCCAGCAGAUCUUCUUCCAGCUUCCCUUUCUCCAGCACUCUUGAUCUUCUGGGCUGGCACAGGGUCCAGGGUUGAUGGGGAUCCUAGCUGCCUGAGGAGCUUCCAGUCUGGAGGGUGAUACAAGCACAUGGCCAGACCUGAAUUCAAGCCAUGAGAGAGAUUCAGAACCUGGGCUGGGAGCGCAGGGGAGGGAGCGGGGUGCUGAUGGGGGUGGAUGGGAGGCUCCAGAGAGGAGGUGGCGUCUGAACUGAACCUUAAGAAUGAGGGGAAAUGUAAUGGCAGCGAUGAGAAAGGGGAGGCACUUCAGUGCAGAGAACAGCAAGAGCAAAGACAAGGAGGUGGAAAAUCAGCCAGAAACCUAGCCUGGAGAGGGUUUAGUGGACCAUGGGUCCUUGAUGGUAGAGACACAACAUGACUUAUCUCUGUGUCCCAUCCUCUGUGCCAGAGGCGGCAUCGACCAGACUUGGACAAAUGAAGCAGAAGGGACAGGGGACUUAGAAUACUAGGCUGCAUCAUUUUCUUUUUACUCUGACAGUGAGAAGCAAAGACCUCCACAAAGAAAGAAGCCCUUGGCUGUGUCAUCAUUUUAGAAUCUGGGCACUCUCUGCACACCACUGCCCCCUCAUGGCUGAUCUAGGAAUUCUCUCUAAAUCCCAGACUGAAGGUGAGGAGGAGGCUCAGUGAGUCUUAGAGAUUUGAAAAGCCGUGAAAUCCUGGUUGGAGAACAUCUGAGUCCAAAGGGCCCUCAGAGACUCUCUGACUUCCUCAUUA
rnacentral:lncRNA from 1 species